UACGGGGGGGGCAAGCGUUGUUCGGAAUUACUGGGCGUAAAGGGCUCGUAGGCGGCCAACUAAGUCAGACGUGAAAUCCCUCGGCUUAACCGGGGAACUGCGUCUGAUACUGGAUGGCUUGAGUUCGGGAGAGGGAUGCGGAAUUCCAGGUGUAGCGGUGAAAUGCGUAGAUAUCUGGAGGAACACCGGUGGCGAAGGCGGCAUCCUGGACCGACACUGACACUGAGGAGCGAAAGCGUGGGUAGCAAACAGG
rnacentral:rRNA from 1 species